UGGGGAAUAUUGGACAAUGGGCGAAAGCCUGUUCCAGCCAUGCCGCGUGUGUGAAGAAGGUCUUCGGAUUGUAAAGCACUUUAAGUUGGGAGGAAGGGCAGUAAGCGAAUACCUUGCUGUUUUGACGUUACCGACAGAAUAAGCACCGGCUAACUCUGUGCCAGCAGCCGCGGUAAUACAGAGGGUGCAAGCGUUAAUCGGAAUUACUGGGCGUAAAGCGCGCGUGGGUGGUUCGUUAAGUUGAAUGUGAAAGCCCCGGGCUCAACCUGGGAACUGCAUCCAAAACUGGCGAGCUAGAGUAGGGCAGAGGGUGGUGGAAUUUCCUGUGUAGCGGUGAAAUGCGUAGAUAUAGGAAGGAACACCAGUGGCGAAGGCGACCACCUGGGCUCAUACUGACACUGAGGUGCGAAAGCGUGGGGAGCAAACAGG
rnacentral:rRNA from 1 species